UACAGAGGGUGCGAGCGUUAAUCGGAAUUACUGGGCGUAAAGCGCACGUAGGCGGCUUGGUAUGUCGGGUGUGAAAUCCCCGGGCUCAACCUGGGAACUGCAUCCGAAACUGCCUUGCUCGAGUAUGGGAGAGGGAAGUGGAAUUUCCGGUGUAGCGGUGAAAUGCGCAGAUAUCAGGAGGAACACCAAUUGCGAAGGCAGCUCGCUGGGACGUUCUUGACGCUGAGGCGCGAAAGCUAGGGGAGCAAACGGG
rnacentral:rRNA from 1 species